rnacentral:rRNA from 1 species
UACGGGGGGGGGCAAGCGUUGUUCGGAAUUACUGGGCGUAAAGGGCUCGUAGGCGGCCAACUAAGUCAGACGUGAAAUCCCUCGGCUUAACCGGGGAACUGCGUCUGAUACUGGAUGGCUUGAGUUUGGGAGAGGGAUGCGGAAUUCCAGGUGUAGCGGUGAAAUGCGUAGAUAUCUGGAGGAACAUCGGUGGCGAAGGCGGCAUCCUGGACCGGUAUUGACGCUGAGGCGCGAAAGCCAGGGGAGCAAACGGG